AAAUAAUUAAAAUUUGCAUGUAAUUUUCCAUAAGAGAGAAUUUAUUUUUAAUUUUUAUAUAUUUAAAGGGCUUUUUAGUCACCCAAGUGGACUUUUUUUGAAAAAAUUGUAGUUUUUAAACAACACAAUUGAAAAACCGAUGCUAAUUUACAUCAUGGCAGCAAAAUAUGUAAUUAAAUUGAGCAAAAUUGUCAACUUUUUUAAAGACUAAGAAAAGCUCAUCAGCAGAGGUGAAAAUGCUGUUGAAUCUGGUCAUGUUACCAAUUUAAUUUCAGAUACUGAGCUUCAUCUUGUUACAGGAAAAGUUCACGCAAGCAUGAGGGAUCGUCAAUAUAAUCUUAAGAUUGAUUUUGAUACUGAUUGGGCUAUAAACUCAGCAAGUUGUAGCUGCCCCAGAGGUCAGCUAUGCUGAUAUUACAUUGCAGCACUACUUUUUGCUUGGGAUAAUAUUUCUAUUAGUGACAAGGAAUGUAUGUGGAGUAAACCAAAGCAAGUUAAAGAUCCUGCGGUCAAAAAUAUUAAUGAUUUAUACCCCACAAAAAAUCACAAAUUCUAUUUGGAACAUUAUAUUACAUUUUUAUUAGGGGAAAAACAUACAAGUAAUUAAUGUAUACCUAUAAUAAUACCUGUAAGAUUAUAUUGGUUUUUGGCAUAUUUUUAGUAGCACUUAGAAGUACAUA